rnacentral:pre_miRNA from 1 species
AGGCUAUCCUCGUAUAGUAUAGUAGUUCAAAAAAUUAUAAGCAUGCUACCAUACUUAUAAGGAUAACCUGU